CUUGAAUACAAUAGAGAGAGUAUAUGUCUGAUUUUUACUUUCUCCAACGUUCCUCCAAAUUAAUUUGUCGCUAGCGAGGCGAGGCGAGGCGAGGCCAGGAGCGAAACCCGGCGAACAGCGAAAAGGUUCAUUAGAAGUUGCCAGACUUAUUGGAAAUGCAAUAGUGCACUAAACGACAAAUUCCAUGAAGCGAAGAAGACCCUUUCCUUCACCAUUAUCCGUUAUAAAAUGCACAACACCCUCAACCCCCCCAACUCCAUGCAACUUCGACAUCACCCAGUUUUCCAAAACCAAAACCAACCUAAACUCUGAAACUCUCUCCAUCUCUUCAAAGAGACCACCUAGGAGAUCUUUGUCUGAAACCCUAAAAAUCGAAAACUUGCCACCCGAGAAAUGGACACCCCUCAAUUUGGGGAAAUCAGAGCUAUCGUUGUCCCUGACAUUUCCAACAGGACAGACUUUCAGGUGGAAGAAAACAGGGAGACUCCAAUACACGGGAGUUAUCAAGUCCCAUUUGGUGUCCUUGAAGCACCUUGAAAAUGGUGAUGUUUCUUACCAUUUUCACACGGCUACCUGUCCUACUUCCGGUUCCAAUUCCAACUUCAAUGAGGAGGAGGAUGCUAAGCUAGCUUUGCUUGAUUUUGUUAACGUGGGUAUUCGUUUGACUGACUUGUGGGCGGAUUUUUCGGCCUCAGAUCAGAAGUUUGCUGAGCUAGCACCUCAUUUGGUCGGUGCCCGUGUGCUCAGGCAAGAUCCUUUGGAGUGCCUAAUUCAGUUCUUGUGUUCAACUAAUAAUAACAUUCAGAGGAUUACUCGAAUGGUUGAUUACAUUUCUUCAUUAGGUCAUUAUUUGGGAAGUGUUGAGGGGUUUCAGUUUUAUCAAUUUCCAUCAUUGGAGCGGCUGUCCAUUGUCUCUGAAGCGGAGCUAAGGGAGGCUGGAUUUGGUUAUAGAGCCAAAUACAUGGUCAGCACAAUAAAGGCCUUGCAAUUGAAACCUGGUGGUGGUGUUAAGUGGCUUUCUUCUUUGCGUGAAUUGGAUCUUGAAAAGGUCAUAAUCAAUCUCUCCACUUUGCCCGGUGUGGGUCCAAAGGUGGCAUCGUGUGUAGCUCUCUUUUCCCUGGACCAACAUCAUGCAGUUCCAGUUGACACGCAUGUUUGGCAGAGCUCCUACGUACAGUACAGGGGUACAGGCAAUCAGGCAUACAGCCUACUUUGUCGUCUCACAUGUGUCUGACAAAAUUGGACUCGUGUCUCCCCUGUCAUCUCUUACUGGUCUAUCCCAAGCGUUUUGAAGUUUGAAGGAUCCGGCCUGACCCGACCCGACAGAGUGGUUGUAGUCUGAAAUGGGAGGUGCAGGUGCAGACGAACUGCAAUUACCACCGGCUGAGGAGUUGGUGAUGCAUUCUAUGUCGGAAAUGUACGUCAAACUCCAUCGCUGUUACCAUCGUUGCCGAGAUUGAUCUUUACAAAUAUGACCCUUGGGACCUGCCGGAUUUAGCGUUUUAUUGGAAGGAGUGAUAUUUCUUCGAGGCCCAACCGGGCAGCGGGCAGCGGCUAUUGGAAAGCAACGGGGAAAGAUAAGCCCAUCAUUGCCAUUGGUUUUCUAUGCGGGCCCCGGGAAGGCCCCCAAGGGUGACAAAGACUAAUUGGAUUAUGCACGGACUAUCGCCUUGCUGGUGUUGACCGCUCUGCCCGCAACAAUAAUAAUCUUAUCAACAGUCUCAGGUUGUAUUGUGAACCUUAAUGCGCUCUGACUCUUGGAGGAAGAUCUGCUUGAGAGCAUCGAAUCAGCUAGAUGAGCGGGUGGUGUGUCGCAUAUACAACAAGAAAGGUAGUGUAGAGAAGCAAAAUGGAGGUAUGAAGAAGGCCUCUUGUUGGUGGUAGGAGCAUCGUCCCAUACAACGACUUUUAACGACUUUGUGCAUAUAGAUACCACUUCAGAUUCAAUGCAGGCACAAGGAGUGCACACAGAGUCGACCAGAAGCUGCUCAGAACGUCGAGAACAUGGGCAUUGGGCAUGUGGUGACAUGCUCUGAGAGAGAGGUACAGAGCGAGCUGUUAGAUUACUCAUUAGCUUGUAGUAUCAGCAACAUUACUACAACAAAUAGUUGUUGUGUCAGCAUGCCUACGUGGCAGUAGUUAUAACUAACUCCCUUAAUGAAAGGAGCUUGCUCUAACAACUUUGUGAAGGUUCUAGAUUAUUUGUUACUAUAUAUAUUGUAAACUGUUGUAAUCAUCAAUAAUACAAUAUAUUUUCUUUCCCUAAA